GACGAACGCUGGCGGCGUGCUUAACACAUGCAAGUCGAACGGAAAGGCUCCAGCUUGCUGGAGUACUCGAGUGGCGAACGGGUGAGUAACACGUGGGUAAUCUGCCCUGCACUCUGGGAUAAGCCUGGGAAACUGGGUCUAAUACUGGAUAUGACCUUUCUCCUUAUGGGGUUUGGUGGAAAGUUUUUCGGUGUAGGAUGAGCCCGCGGCCUAUCAGCUUGUUGGUGGGGUGAUGGCCUACCAAGGCGACGACGGGUAGCCGGCCUGAGAGGGUGAUCGGCCACAUUGGGACUGAGAUACGGCCCAGACUCCUACGGGAGGCAGCAGUGGGGAAUAUUGCACAAUGGGCGGAAGCCUGAUGCAGCGACGCCGCGUGAGGGAUGACGGCCUUCGGGUUGUAAACCUCUUUCAGCAGGGACGAAGCGUGAGUGACGGUACCUGCAGAAGAAGCACCGGCUAACUAUGUG
rnacentral:rRNA from 1 species